rnacentral:rRNA from 2 species
CGUCGUCCCCGGGUGAGUCGAGUCCUAAGGCGAGGCCGACAGGCGUAGUCGAAUGGAUGAACGGGUUGAUAUUCCCGUACCGGUGUUACACCGUUCGAACUGAAUCUGAGAGUACUAACCUUCAUUUGCGAGCUGGCUUCCUUUCGGGGUUGUUGGCUUGUUUGUGUUGGGAGCGUAUCGGUAGUAGGUUAGCGUGGGAGUGACGCGGGUAGGUAGCCGGCUGCGGAGGUGGUUUUCCGUGGCUAAGCGUGUGGGCUGUCCUCUAGGUAAAUCCGGGGGAUGUUAAAGCUGAGGCGUGAUGGGUAGGCUGUAAGGCUGAUUCCGGUGAUCCUGCUUGCCAAGAAAAGCUUCAACGUGAGGUGUGAUUCCGCUCGUACCCUAAACCGACACUGGUGGUCUGGUAGAGUAUACCGAAGCGAUCGGGCGAAUCCUGGCCAAGGAACUCGGCAAAUUACUCCCGUGCCUUCGGCAUAAGGGAGACCCCUGAUGGUGAUAUGGUUUCACACUGUUGAGCUGUUGGGGGUGGCACAAGCUAGGGGGUAGCGACUGUUUACCAAAAACACAGGAGCGUGCGAAGGCGUAAGCCGCUGUAUACGCUCUGACGCCUGCCCGGUGCCGGAAGGUUAAGAGGAUCCGUUAGCUUCGGUGAAGCGGUGAAUUUAAGCCCCGGUAAACGGCGGUGGUAACUAUAACCAUCCUAAGGUAGCGAAAUUCCUUGUCGGGUAAGUUCCGACCUGCACGAAUGGCGUAACGACUUCCCCACUGUC